rnacentral:rRNA from 1 species
AUUAAACGCUGGCGGCAUGCCUUACACAUGCAAGUCGAACGGCAGCACGGGGGCAACCCUGGUGGCGAGUGGCGGACGGGUGAGUAAUGCAUCGGAACGUGCCCUGAAGUGGGGGAUAACGCAGCGAAAGCUACGCUAAUACCGCAUAUUCUGUGAGCAGGAAAGCAGGGGAUCGCAAGACCUUGCGCUUUGGGAGCGGCCGAUGUCGGAUUAGCUAGUUGGUGGGGUAAAGGCCUACCAAGGCGACGAUCCGUAGCGGGUCUGAGAGGAUGAUCCGCCACACUGGGACUGAGACACGGCCCAGACUCCUACGGGAGGCAGCAGUGGGGAAUUUUGGACAAUGGGCGGAAGCCUGAUCCAGCCAUGCCGCGUGAGUGAAGAAGGCCU